rnacentral:rRNA from 1 species
UACGUAGGGGGCAAGCGUUGUCCGGAAUCAUUGGGCGUAAAGCGCGUGUAGGCGGCUGGGUAAGUCCGCUCUGAAAGCCCGGGGCUCAACCCCGGGAGGCGGGUGGAUACUGCUCAGCUCGAGUCCGGAAGAGGAGUGUGGAAUUCCUGGUGUAGCGGUGAAAUGCGCAGAUAUCAGGAGGAACACCAAUGGCGAAGGCAGCCUCCUGGGCCAGCACUGACGCUCAUGCACGAAAGCGUGGGGAGCAAACAGG